rnacentral:rRNA from 1 species
UACAGAGGUGGCAAACGUUGUUCGGAUUUACUGGGCGUAAAGGGUCCGCAGGCGGACCGGUAUGUCGGAUGUGAAAGCCCACAGCUUAACUGUGGAAAUGCAUUCGAAACUGCCGGUCUAGAGUACUGGAGGGGAGAAGGGAAUUCUUGGUGUAGCGGUGAAAUGCGUAGAUAUCAAGAAGAACACCGGUGGCGAAGGCGCUUCUCUGGACAGAUACUGACGCUCAUGGACGAAAGUUAGGGUAGCGAAA